UACGUAGGGUCCGAGCGUUGUCCGGAAUUACUGGGCGUAAAGAGCUCGUAGGUGGUUUGUCGCGUUGUUCGUGAAAACUCACAGCUCAACUGUGGGCGUGCGGGCGAUACGGGCAGACUAGAGUACUGCAGGGGAGACUGGAAUUCCUGGUGUAGCGGUGGAAUGCGCAGACAUCAGGAGGAACACCGGUGGCGAAGGCGGGGUCUCUGGGCAACAACUGACGCUGAGGCAGCGAAAGCGUGGGGAGCAACAGG
rnacentral:rRNA from 1 species